AAUGGCUAGCGGCUGGGAUGGGUGAAUCUAUGGACAUGGGGAGGGAUGGCGUCGCUCGGCCCCGCUAUGCUCAGGUGGAAGAGGAAUGCUGCAAGUCCAUCAAACAGUAGAGGCCUUGAAGAAUAGAAGUAAAGGCCUUGAAGAAAAGAGGCCUUGAAGAAUAUAUUAAGGACAGUGAAGAAGAUGCACUUCAAAUGGUCAGUAACGAGAAACUAUUCAACACCAAUGAAACAAAGCAGGCCUACAAGAAAGAACAAGUCAAGAACCGAGCAGAAAAAUGGAAAAAUAAGCCACUGCACGGUCAAUAUUUGCACAAUAUAAGCGGAAAAUCAGACAUCACCAAGACCUGGCAAUGGCUUAAGAAUGGCAACUUGAAGAAAGAAACAGAGGGUUUAAUACUGGCUGCACAAGAAGAGGCACUAAGAACAAAUGCAAUAAGAGCAAAAGUAGAAAAGUCAACAACAAACAGCAAGUGCAGCCUUUGUAAAGAAGCAGAUGAAACCGUGGACCACCUCAUCAGCUGUUGUAAAAAGAUUGCACAGACUGACUACAAACAAAGGCAUGGCAAGGUAGCAGGGAUGAGACACUGGAACAUCUGCAAAAAAUACAAGCUAGCUGUAGCCAAAAACUGAUGGGACCAUAAAAAUGAAAAAGUUGUCGAAAACGAAGAUGUGAAAAUAUUAUUAUGGGACUUCUGACUACAAACAGACAAACAUCUGCCACACAAUACACCAGAUAUAACUGUAGUCGAGAAGAAAGAAAAACAAGUGAAAAUAAUCGACAUAUCAAUACCAGGGGAUAGCAGAAUAGAAGAAAAAGAAAUGGAAAAAACAACAAAAUUCAAAGAUCUACAAAUUGAAAUUGAAAGGCUGUGGCAGAAAAAGACCAAAAUCAUCCCAGUGAUAAUUGGCGCCCUGGGUGCAGUUCCAGAAAACCUUAAAGAGCACCUCAACACCAUAGGGGCCACAGAAAUCACUAUCAGCCAAUUACAAAAAGCAAUUUUACUGGGAACAGCCUAUAUUUUGCGACGUUAUCUAUAACAACCAACAAUAUUGAUGAUAAAAUUCAGCCAUCCCAGGUCCUUGGGAAGGACUCGAUGUCUGAAUAAAACAAACUAGUCAAUAACAUCUGUCUGACUGUGUAAACAAGAAAUAAUAAUAAUAAUAAUCCACUGCUGCCCCAAACCUUUGGAACGUGCUCCCUGCUGAAUUACGAGCCUCCCUAUCUCUGUCAACUUUUUAAAAGUCUUUAAAGACGCACCUAUUCACCCAGGCUUUUAAUUAAAUAUUGUUUUCACAA